rnacentral:rRNA from 1 species
UACGGGGGGAGCAAGCGUUGUUCGGAUUUACUGGGCGUAAAGGGCGCGUAGGCGGCCACCGCAAGUCGACUGUGAAAUCUCCGGGCUUAACCCGGAAAGGUCAGCCGAUACUGCGGGGCUAGAGUGCAGAAGGGGCAACUGGAAUUCUCGGUGUAGCGGUGAAAUGCGUAGAUAUCGAGAGGAACACCUGCGGCGAAGGCGGGUUGCUGGGCUGACACUGAGGCGCGAAAGCGUGGGGAGCGAACAGG